CGUGUNNNNAUUAGCUGGUUCUAGGACGCCGGAUGAUUAAUAGGGAUAGUCGGGGGCGUCANUAUUCAGCUGUCCAAGGUGAAAUUCUUGGAUUUGCUGAUGACUAACUACUGCGAAAGCAUUCGCCAAGGAUGUUUUCAUUAAUCAAGAAACGAAAGUUACGGGAUCGAAGACCAUCAUAUACCGUGGUAGUCUUAACCAUAAACUAUGCCGACAAGGGAUCGGGCGGGGUUUCUAUGAUGACCCGCUCGGCACCUUACUAGAAAUCAUAGUUUUUGGGUUCUGGGGGGAGUAUGGUCUCAAGGGUGAAACUUAGANAAAUUGACCGAUGGGCACCCCAAGGCGUGCAGCCGGCCGCUUAAUUUGACUCACCUUCGGGAAACUCACCUAGUCCUNACCAAAUAAGGAUUGACAGAUUGAGAGCUCUUUCUUGAUCUUUUGGAUGGUGGUGCAUGGCCGUUCUUAAUUGAAGCANUGAUUUGUCUGCUUAAUUGCUAUUACAAAGUAAACCUCAGCCCUGAAAUAGACCGGUCUGCAUCUGCUGACUUCUGGUUUCUGAUGAAGGCUAUCGGCUCAGGCCAAUGGAAGUACAUGGCAAGUCAUGUCUAUGAUGCCCUUUUAUGUUCUGACCGCUGACGCGCUACACUGACACGAUCCCUAUGUACAUCUACUUGCGCUAUAGGUCUCCGNUAAUCUAGUAAACCUGUCCUAGUCGGNNCNCA
rnacentral:rRNA from 1 species